rnacentral:tRNA from 1 species
GGGGUAUAGCGCAGCCUGGUAGCGCGGCAGUUUUGGGUACUGCAGGUCGUUGGUUCGAAUC